GACAGAGGUCCCGAGCGUUAGGCGGAAUCACUGGGCUUAAAGCGUGUGUAGGCGGACUUCUAAGUACCUUGUGAAAUCCCACGGCUUAACCGUGGAACUGCUCGGUAUACUGGUUGUCUUGGGCCAUCUAGGGGCUACCGGAACAAGUGGUGGAGCGGUGAAAUGCGUAGAUAUCACUUGGAACGCCAAUGGUGAAAACAGGUAGCUGGGGAUGUGCCGACGCUGAGACAUGAAAGCCAGGGGAGCAAACGGG
rnacentral:rRNA from 1 species